UACGUAGGGGGCUAGCGUUGUCCGGAAUCAUUGGGCGUAAAGCGCGUGUAGGCGGCCUUGUAAGUCCGUUCUGAAAGCCCGGGGCUCAACCCCGGGAGGCGGAUGGAUACUGCAAGGCUCGAGUACGGAAGAGGCGAGUGGAAUUCCCGGUGUAGCGGUGAAAUGCGCAGAUAUCGGGAGGAACACCAAUGGCGAAGGCAGCUCGCUGGGACGUUACUGACGCUGAGACGCGAAAGCGUGGGGAGCAAACAGG
rnacentral:rRNA from 1 species